UACGUAGGCAGCAAGCGUUGUUCGGAGUUACUGGGCGUAAAGGGUGUGUAGGCGGUUUUUUAAGUUUGGUGUGAAAUCUCCCGGCUCAACUGGGAGGGUGCGCCGAAUACUGAAAGACUAGAGUGCGGGAGAGGAAAGUGGAAUUCCUGGUGUAGCGAUGAAAUGCGUAGAUAUCAGGAGGAACACCGGUGGUGUAGACGGCUUUCUGGACCGUAACUGACGCUGAGACACGAAAGCGUGGGUAGCAAACAGG
rnacentral:rRNA from 1 species